GGGCGGUUAGCUCAGUUGGUUAGAGCGCCACAUUGACAUUGUGGAGGUCACAAGUUCGAAUCUUGUAUCGCCCACCA
rnacentral:tRNA from 2 species